CACAGGUGAAGGCAAUUCACCUGUGUGACUGGAAGGGGUGGAGCCUGGCUGCACCUCUCCUAGACCCCAUUUAAGGGCUGACUGCCACCAGAAAAGGAUCUCUUCCUGGAGAUUGCUCCUUGGGGAGUUUUUGUGAGUCUACAACACUGCUUACAUUCCCAUCAUGCCUUGUAGAAAAAAUCCACGGGGGACGAAAGAUAACACUGAGUCCAAACCCUGAGAACAGAGCCCCAUGAAAGCAACAAAUUAUAAACUCUACUGAAGAGAUUUUCUUCAGAAAGAUCACAGGUCCCAUGCUUUAGUCAUGGCCUGUUCCUCUGCCAGCAGGUUCAGAGAGUGAUCUGUGAGAGCUAAGUGAUUUCUUUCAAGUAAGCUGCUCACGAUGACUACAGAAACCUCAAGGAUUACAGUACACAAACAAAGGGAGAAAAGCUGCUUCAAAUAAUACACCCAGACAAUGGAGUUGCCGUGAUGGUAGCAAUGCAAAAUAUGGACAGGGAUUUAAAUGAAACGGGUGAUAUCUGUAUAGUUUGGAGGGCUCACGUGUGCCAAAUUUGGCAGCAUGAGUGUUCAUAUUGCUUGUUGCUCCACCCCUUGAACAAUGAGGCUAAACCCCAUAUGUGCAGGAGUUGGUAGAGCACAAGCAGUUCUGCUAAUCACACUGCAUGCAAAAGCAAAAAGACAAAGGGAACUAGUAAUGCUUAGACUAGCAUUGGGGAAAUAAUUAAGCAUGAAUGAAAUAUUGUAUGUGGAUUUGAAAUGAAUGCGAGGCAUUCUUGGAAACAAUUGUGCUGUUUCAGUUGUGCUGCUUUCCCCCCUAAGUUUCACAAAGUAAUUUGCAUGUCAUUUAAAUAAAUACCAUAAAUUAUUGCAAACUUUUUGUUUUUAUUUACAUAAAACAAAAUACUCAUUUCCAUUAUUGUUUGGAUUACCUGACAAGAGUGAAAUGCAGAGGCCUUUGAGAUCAAACUUGUCUCUUCUCCUCAAAAUACUACAGAUUUCUCAUGCAUGCGUGAGCCAGAAAUGAC
rnacentral:lncRNA from 1 species